UGAGCAUUUUAAGGUUCUCUAAGUAAGAGUUCAGGCAGUAUUCCCCGAACCCCGAAUGGAGAGAGAUGACUAUAAACCGAAGGGAGCAUAAAGAAGUAGGCAAUGAAGCAGAUGGCUAUUAUGGUGGGAUCAGAAAGCUUUACAGUGAGGAUGAGAUCUCUAAGUGGAAAAGCUUUUGGCCAAGCUGCACCCUGGAUU